rnacentral:rRNA from 1 species
GUGGGGAAUAUUGCGCAAUGGGCGAAAGCCUGACGCAGCGACGCCGCGUGGAGGAUGAAGGCCUUCGGAUCGUAAACUCCUGUCAAGAGGGAAGAACCGUAUGCGGAAUAAUCAGCCGCGUGCCUGACGGUACCUCUAAAGGAAGCACCGGCUAACUCCGUGCCAGCAGCCGCGGUAAUACGGAGGGUGCAAGCGUUAAUCGGAAUUACUGGGCGUAAAGCGCACGUAGGCUGUUGUGUAAGUCAGGUGUGAAAGCCCCCGGCCCAACCGGGGAAUUGCACUUGAUACUGCUAGGCUAGAGUUCAGGAGAGGGUGGCGGAAUUCCAGGUGUAGGAGUGAAAUCCGUAGAUAUCUGGAGGAACACCGGUGGCGAAGGCGGCCACCUGGACUGACACUGACGCUGAGGUGCGAAAGCGUGGGUAGCAAACAGGAUUAGAUACCCUGGUAGUCC